rnacentral:rRNA from 1 species
AUUGAACGCUGGCGGCAUGCCUUACACAUGCAAGUCGAACGGUAACAGGUCUUCGGAUGCUGACGAGUGGCGAACGGGUGAGUAAUACAUCGGAACGUGCCUAGUAGUGGGGGAUAACUACUCGAAAGAGUGGCUAAUACCGCAUGAGAUCUACGGAUGAAAGCAGGGGAUCGCAAGACCUUGUGCUACUAGAGCGGCCGAUGGCAGAUUAGGUAGUUGGUGGGAUAAAAGCUUACCAAGCCGACGAUCUGUAGCUGGUCUGAGAGGACGAUCAGCCACAGUGGGACUGAGACACGGCCCAGACUACUACGGGAGGCAGCAGUGGGGAAUUUUGGACAAUGGGCGAGAGCAUGAUCCAGCAAUGCCGCGUGCAGGAUGAAGGCCUUCGGGUUGUAAACUGCUUUUGUACGGAACGAAAAGCCCCGGGUUAAUACCCUGGGGUCAUGACGGUACCGUAAGAAUAAGCACCGGCUAACUACGUGCCAGCCGCCGCGGUAAUAC